GUGCACGCUGGCGGUAGGCCUAACCCCUGCAAGUCGCACGGCAGCACAGUAAGAGCUUGCUCUUACGGGUGGCGAGUGGCGGACGGGUGAGGAAUACAUCGGAAUCUACUUUUUCGUGGGGGAUAACGUAGGGAAACUUACGCUAAUACCGCAUACGACCUACGGGUGAAAGCAGGGGAUCUUCGGACCUUGCGCGAUUGAAUGAGCCGAUGUCGGAUUAGCUAGUUGGCGGGGUAAAGGCCCACCAAGGCGACGAUCCGUAGCUGGUCUGAGAGGAUGAUCAGCCACACUGGAACUGAGACACGGUCCAGACUCCUACGGGAGGCAGCAGUGGGGAAUAUUGGACAAUGGGCGCAAGCCUGAUCCAGCCAUACCGCGUGGGUGAAGAAGGCCUUCGGGUUGUAAAGCCCUUUUGUUGGGAAAGAAAAGCAGCAGGUUAAUACCCCGCUGUUCUGACGGUACCCAAAGAAUAAGCACCGGCUAACUUCGCG
rnacentral:rRNA from 1 species